CACCAAGUACCACUCUUAGGCCCUUGAGCAAGACCCUUAACUCUCUGUGCUCCAGGGGUGCUGUAGUCAUGGCUGACCCAGUGCUCUGCCCCCGGCAUUCUAUCAUCACUGGGGAAGGACCUUUGGCUGAUCCUGAACACUUGGCUGAGGCAAGCAAGGACAGAGCAAACACCGUUCCGAGACGUCUGUGUAGCAGCAGUUUUCAGGCUACUUGGGCGACUUGGUCAACUAGGACUUAAGGAGAACAUGCUAACGUCACUCGAAAACCUGGCAAAAAGCAUUAAUCAGUUUGGAAUGCAAAACUUCUCAAAAGGUAUGCCAUGGGAAGUGCAGCUCUCAGUCAUCUAUGCCACUCAUGAUCUGGCACCCAGCAACCCUGAAGCAGCUCUGAAGACUUUGGAAUCAUGGAGGAAAAACAGCACACAGCCCGUUCCCCCAGCCGUCAUCAAAUGCAUCAAACAAAUCAGCUUCCUUUGUCAUCAGACCAAGUCACAAAACUCUAAGAAAUCACAGUAGUUAGUAUUAUAGUGAGCACUGCAUCCCCCAGGUCUGUAUCCUCAGUCACCAGCUGUUCACACUGUGAAUCAUGACUGUGCUGCAAUGCACAGCUCCAAUCAUCAAGUUUAGUAGUCACAUGACCGGCAUGAGUCUCAUCAACAAGAACGACAAGACGCUUUCAGACAGGAAAUGCAGUGGAUAAUGGACUGGUGCUGACUCAGCAAUCUUUGUGUUCAGCUGUGGAGAACCUCAUCUGGUCUCACAAAGCCACCAGCAUUGUGGAUGACCACAUACACCCUUUAUACAUUAUUGAUUAUAUCAGUGGAGGGCCGUGCAUUUGGUACCUGGGCCUUCAGUGGGGACUUACCCGACUUAAUCCACCUCUUAA